CACGUAGGGUGCGAGCGUUGUCCGGAAUUAUUGGGCGUAAAGAGCUCGUAGGCGGUCUGUCGCGUCUGCUGUGAAACUCAGGGCUUAACCCUGAGCUUGCAGUGGGUACGGGCAGACUAGAGUGCGGUAGGGAGACUGGAAUUCCUGGUGUAGCGGUGAAAUGCGCAGAUAUCAGGAGGAACACCGGUGGCGAAGGCGGGUCUCUGGGCCGUAACUGACGACUGGAGACGGCGAAAGCGUCGGGAGCGAACAGG
rnacentral:rRNA from 1 species